rnacentral:rRNA from 1 species
ACGAACGCUGGCGGCGUGCCUAAUACCUGCAAGUUGAGCGCUGAAGGUUGGUACUUGUACCAACUGGAUGAGCAGCGAACGGGUGAGUAACGCGUGGGGAAUCUGCCUUUGAGCGGGGGACAACAUUUGGAAACGAAUGCUAAUACCGCAUAAAAACUUUAAACACAAGUUUUCAGUUUGAAAGAUGCAAUUGCAUCACUCAAAGAUGAUCCCGCGUUGUAUUAGCUAGUUGGUGAGGUAAAGGCUCACCAAGGCGAUGAUACAUAGCCGACCUGAGAGGGUGAUCGGCCACAUUGGGACUGAGACACGGCCCAAACUCCUACGGGAGGCAGCAGUAGGGAAUCUUCGGCAAUGGACGAAAGUCUGACCGAGCAACGCCGCGUGAGUGAAGAAGGUUUUCGGAUCGUAAAACUCUGUUGGUAGAGAAGAACGUUGGUGAGAGUGGAAAGCUCAUCAAGUGACGGUAACUACCCAGAAAGGGACGGCUAACUACGUG